rnacentral:rRNA from 1 species
UAAAAGUCGUAACAAGGUCUCCGUAGGUGAACCUGCGGAAGGAUCAUUACCGUUUGUCUUUUGACAAAACCACUGUGAACUGUAUUGAGCAGGUGGGGUAACGUUUAACUACGUUUUACGUUUUAAAUGACUUCGGUCGGCCCCACUUGUGCACCAAUUAUGUAAUUUUUUUAACACACUGUUUAGCCUGUGCUACUUCGUGCUACGGUAUGAAGUGAAAAUGAAACGUGACAACUUCUAACGGUGGAUCUCUAGGCUCGUGCAUCGAUGAAGAACGUAGCCAGUUGCGAUAAGUAGUGUGAAUUGCAGAAUUCAGUGAAUCAUCGAAUCUUUGAACGCAAAUUGCGCUCUCUGGAUAUCCAGGGAGCAUGCCUGUCUGAGCGUCGUUUAAGAAUCUACACAUAAUUUUAUGUGGGAAGAGUGUUCAUGCAUUUUUAUGCAUGUCUCUCUAUGGAUUUGAACCGUGCAGUGCGUCAAUGCGUGCUGCUUGGAAGGCUCAACUUGCUUCUGUCCUUCUAAAGCAGUUAUGCGCUGAGUGCAUUACGUGUUCUUGCUCGACUCUCGUCGAACAUUUCUAAUUUUGACCUCAGAUCAGACAAGACUACCCGCUGAAUUUAAGCAUAUCAAUA